rnacentral:rRNA from 1 species
UACGACUACAUAUCAGGCAUAUCAAUAAGCGGAGGAAAAGAAACUAACUAGGAUUCCCUCAGUAACGGCGAGUGAAGCGGGAAGAGCUCAAAUUUGAAAUCUUCAAGGUUUUACCUUGACGAAUUGUAGUUUAAAGAAGUGUUUUCUGUUGGAGUUUUGGUAAAAGUUCUUUGGAAUAGGACAUCAUAGAGGGUGAGAAUCCCGUAUUUGACCAUUAUUUCCAGCUUUGUGAUACACUUUCAAAGAGUCGGAUUGUUUGGGAAUGCAGUCCAAAAUGGGUGGUAAAUUUCAUCUAAAGCUAAAUAUUGGCGAGAGACCGAUAGCGAACAAGUACCGUGAGGGAAAGAUGAAAAGAACUUUGAAAAGAGAGUUAAACAGUACGUGAAAUUGUCAAAAGGGAAGCGUUUGACACCAGUGUUGUUUCUACGAAAAUCAAUUUAUGAUGGCUUGAUGCUAAGCUUUAAGACCUUAUCCGCUUGUUGUUUAGUUUUCUUGUCUUUGUGAAUGCACUUUUCGUGGAACAAGUCAACAUCAAUUUCUUUUGCUGUAAAAGGGUAAGAGGAAGGUGGCUUCGGCUUCGGUUGAAGUGUUUAUAGCCUUUUAUCUCUGCAGUCGGAGAGAUUGAGGUCUGCAGCGUAGACUCUUCGGGGUUAGAUACGUCGGUGCUAAGCUAUAGCUUUUCAUAGACAACUUGUUGACUAUGUUUAGUCAUGUGGCUUACCCGCUGGCGCUAUUUUACCUACGCUUAGGAUGUUGAGCGCAUGUCUCUCUCU